ACACUCAACAUACACCAAGCCUUGCCAGAAUUGAUCCCCGCUGAAGGCCAAAACAAAUAAGAAGGACUUACAAACACUCUGGAAAGGAGAUAUGACCAAAGGAAAUGAAACUGGAAAAAAAAAAAAAGAAAAGUGGGAAAUUUGGUGACAACAAGAAAGUGGUCAUGGCAGAAAGAAGGUGCAGUGCAGAGGACCAAAGGAGGCCAAAACUAAGCUGACAGGUGUUGCAAAAGCAAAACAAAAUCCAAGGAGGCAGACACAACUUGGAGGGGAAGAUAUGAGAGACAUUGCAUGGAUACAGUUUAAAAAACAAAAAAAAAUCUCGGCCAAAGUCAAAGCCAUGAAAAGGCAUGGCAUGCACACACCUGCAGGGACACUCACAACAUACACCAAGCCUUGCCAGAAUUGAUCCCCGCUGAAGGCCAAAACAAAUAAGAAGGACUUACAAACACUCUGGAAAGGAGAUAUGACCAAAGGAAAUGAAAUUGGAAAAAAAAAAAAGAAAAGUGGGAAAUUUGGUGACAACAAAAAAGUGGUCUGGGCAGAAAGAAGGUGCAGUGCAUUGGACCAAAGGAGGCCAAAACUAAGCUGACAGGUGUUGCAAAAGCAAAACAAAAUCCAAGGAGGCAGACACAACUUGGAGGGGAAGAUAUGAGGGACAAUGCAUGGAUACAUUAAAAAACAAAAAAAAAAAAAAAAAAAAAAAAUCAGCCUAAGUCAAAGCCAACAAAAGGCAUUGCAAGCCAACAAGUGCAGGGACUUGCACCAAAGCGUGUCUAAUUGAUCCCCAUUAAAAUCGCAAGAUUUCGUUUGCCUGCCCGAAAGGAAAUGAAAUUUCCUUUCGGGCAGGCAAACGAAAUCUUGCGCCCCUGCAAAGAAAGGCAUACAAAGACUCUGGAAAGGAGAUAUGAUCAAAAGAAAUGCAAUUGCAAAAAACCCCCAAAAAAGGGAAAAUUGGGAAAUUUGGUGACAACAAGAAAGUGGUCUGGGCAGAAAGCAGGUGCAGUGCAGAGGACCAAAGGAGGCCAAAACUAAGCUGACAGGUGUUGCAAAAGCAAAACAAAAUCCAAGGAGGCAGACACAACUUGGAGGGGAAGAUAUGAGGGACAAUGCAUGGAUACAUUAAAAAAAAAAAAAAAAGAAAAAAAAUCAGCCUAAGUCAAAGCCAACAAAAGGCAUUGCAAGCCAACAAGUGCAGGGACUUGCACCAAAGCGUGUCUAAUUGAUCCCCAUUAAAAUCGCAAGAUUUCGUUUGCCUGCCCGAAAGGAAAUUUCAUUUCCUUUCGGGCAGGCAAACGAAAUCUUGCGCCCCUGCAAAGAAAGGCUUACAAAGACUCUGGAAAGGAGAUAUGAUCAAAAGAAAUGCAAUUGCAAAAAAACCCCCAAAAAAGGGAAAAUUGGGAAAUUUGGUGACAACAAGAAAGUGGUCAUGGCAGAAAGAAGGUGCAGUGCAGAGGACCAAAGGAGGCCAAAACUAAGCUGACAGGUGUUGCAAAAGCAAAACAAAAUCCAAGGAGGCAGACACAACUUGGAGGGGAAGAUAUGAGGGACAUUGCAUGGAUACAGUUUAAAAAACAAAAAAAAAUCUCGGCCAAAGUCAAAGCCAUGAAAAGGCAUGGCAUGCAAACAACUGCAGGGACACUCACAACAUACACCAAGCCCUGCCAGAAUUGAUCCCCGCUGAAGGCCAAAACAAAUAAGAAGGACUUACAAACACUCUGGAAAUGAAAUAUAUCCAAAGGAAAUGAAAUUAGAAAAAAAAAAAAGAAAAGUGGGAAAUUUGGUGACUACAAGAAAGUGGUCUGGGCAGAAAGAAGGUGCAGUGCAUUGGACCAAAGGAGGCCAAAACUAAGCUGACAGGUGUUGCAAAAGCAAAACAAAAUCCAAGGAGGCAGACACAACUUGGAGGGGAAGAUAUGAGGGACAUUGCAUGGAUACAGUUAAAAAAAAAAAAAAAAAAUCUUGGCCAAAGUCAAAGCCAUGAAAAGGCAUGGCAUGCAAACAACUGCAGGGACACUCAACAUACACCAAGCCUUGCCAGAAUUG